rnacentral:rRNA from 1 species
CGCGGCCUAUCAGCUUGUUGGUGGGGUAACGGCCUACCAAGGCGAUGACGCGUAGCGGAUCCGAGAGGAUGAUCCGUCACAUUGGGACUGAGAUACGGCCCAGACUCCUACGGGAGGCAGCAGUAGGGAAUAUUGCGCAAUGGGCGAAAACCUGACGCAGCGACGCCGCGUGUGGGAGGAAGCUCUUCGGAGUGUAAACCACUGUCAGAGGGGAAGAACCUCGCCGAGGUAAACAGUCUCGGCGACUGACGGUACCCUCAAAGGAAGCGCCGGCUAACUCCGUGCCAGCAGCCGCGGUAACACGGGGGGCGCAAGCGUUGUUCGGAAUUACUGGGCGUAAAGCGCGGGCAGGCGGUCCGUAAAGUCGUUUGUGAAAAUCCGGGGCUCAACCCCGCGAAAUGCAGACGAUACUGGCGGACUGGAGACCGGUAGAGGCUAGUGGAAUUCCUGGUGUAGCGGUGGAAUGCGUAGAUAUCAGGAAGAACACCUGUGGCGAAGGCGGCUAGCUGGGCCGGGUCUGACGCUCAUCCGCGAAAGCGUGGGGAGCAAACAGGAUUAGAUACCUGGUAGUCCACGCCGUAAACGAUGGGCACUAGGUGCCGGGUCUAAAGACGGAGUCGGUGCCGUAGCUAACGCAUUAAGUGCCCCGCCUGGGGAGUACGG